UUUUAUUUCGUUAGUGUAUAGAAAUUAAUUUUUUAUAACAUUUUAGAAACUUGGUGUAUUUAGAAUGCCUGUGUAAAAUAUUUUCCAUUAAUAGUAAAAAUCAAUCAAAUUAUUAAUGCAUCUGAUCGCAUAAGAUGUUAGUUUAAGGGUAAAUAAAACUUUUACUUAGUCACCUCAAGUGCCAAAAUCUAGAUCACUUCAAAGACGAUGGAAAAACAUAAUGAUUAGUUAAUUUUACUUUUAAUUUAUAAUAAUUUUUUGUUUCCAAUUAUUUUUAAAAAUGAAAUCAGUAACUAAGAUAUAAUAUACAUCAUCCGAGUUGAAUUGAAUUAUAAGAAUUGAUAAUGAGUAUAAAAAUAUAAAAGCAGUUAAUUAGGUUAUUGAAAAUAUAAAGGGAGAAAGUAGGGAAAUAAUGAGAUGAAAAAAGAAACAUACAUGUAGAGUAGAAGAGGGUGAGGAAUUAGAAGUGGUAUUGAUGUCAUGGAGACGGAGGUGUCGGUGAUGGUUGUUGUUAUUGGUAAUGUUGCCCUCAACAUCAACAACGUUUUCAACAAAGCGUGUUGUGUCUUGGUGCCUUAGAAAACCAUGAUGACUUUGCUCCAAAUUCAAACCCAAUGGUAAUUGCAUUCCUCCACUUCUCAAAUUUGUUGUGGACCCCAAUUGUAACACAUGAUCAUCUACUACUAUACCUCUAUUACUACUAUUAUUGUUAUUCCUCCCAUAUCCGCUCUCAGGUACUGCUAAGAUCUGCUCGAAGAAAUCGUCACCUAAUCCCUCCGAACUACAAUUACCUGCCAUAACACCUAAUUUUAUCGAUUCUAAUGCUUUAAUAUUCACACAUUUCUUCUCUUCUGUUUCUAUCGGUUACAAAUUCAACCACCAAAAGCGGAAAACAAGGAAACACGGUUGGAAUUUGGGGGCUUCGCUUCCCGAUAAUGUUUUUGAUUUGUAACGGAGUGAGAAUGAAGAACAGAAUUUGGGACUUUGUUGUUAAUGUUUUUCACUACACAUAUAGAUAGAGAGGAGAAAAGAAUGGUGAGUGCGCUACGGGUUUUAAAAAGACUAAAAACGACGUGAGGGAGUAUUGAUGUCAUGGAGACGGAGGUGUCGGUGAUGGUUGUUGUUAUUGGUAAUGUUGCCCUCAACAUCAACAACGUUUUCAACAAAGCGUGUUGUGUCUUGGUGCCUUAGAAAACCAUGAUG
rnacentral:lncRNA from 1 species